GGCACACCACUGUCCCCUAUUCUGAGGGUUGUAAUAAGUGGUCAUCACGCAGAAUGGAGAGUGAACCUUACUAGACAUUGUCACAAGUGGGAAGAGGUAACAGACAUCAUGCUGGAGUGAGGUGAUUGUAAAAGAGGUAAUAAGGAGAUCUCCAGAAACUGUUUCCUGGAAUUGAUGAAGUGUGCCACACAUAAGAGUAAGGUAAAACAUGAAAAAUGGCCAGGCGUCAUGGCCCUUUCCAGCCCUAAACAUAUGGUUGUGUUGGUUUAAUGUUAGAGAAAAUGAGCAUAACCAAGAAAGAAAGAUCUUUUUUUUUUUUUUUUUGAAACGGAGUCUCGCUCUGUCGCCCAGGAAAGCAUCUUAAUAGUAUUCCAAGGGUGUUGGUGUUUCUCAAGACAGCUGAGAUUUCCUCCCAUCUCCCAUCUAAUGGAUUCACACUCAGAAAAGUAACCAUAACUUUUCAGGGUAAUAUUCUGAGUGCACAGGUUUCUCUGAGAAGGGUCCAGGUGCCGCCAUUCCUCUCUGCUGAAAUCGAUAGCCACAUCCCUGAAGGACACUGAUCCCUGUAAGGGCAAAUUCCUGUUAAAUGUGCACAGUCAGCUUAGACGGUUGGAGAGACUAUAUUUAGGAAUAUGGAAUACAGGUGCGUGAACCCUGGAGGCGGAGCUUACAGUGAUCCGAGAUUGCACCAGUGCGCUCCAGCCUGGGCUACACAGCAUGACUCUGUCUCAUAUUUGAAAGCCUACGACCUUUAUGAUCAUCUGGAUAGAAUCACCUUUGAGGUGGGAAACUUUACUAGUAUCUCUCAACUCCUUGAGUACUUGGUACAAAAUAGUGAUCACUACUAUUAAAACCUCAUAGCAUUACAUCUGAUAGAACAAAUUUUUUUCUUUUCCAGUGUGUAUACCUUGAUCUCAAAUCGUUUCAUUAAACGAAGACAUGCCUUGAAUAAUCUCUCAAAAAGUAAAUUUCUCGACUGUUGCAAUUCACAUCUUUAUGCGUCUUUUGCUCUUGUUUUCA
rnacentral:lncRNA from 1 species